UUAAGUUCAGCGGGUAGUCCUACCUGAUUUGAGGUCAAGCUUAAAAGUGUAUGCCUCACAAUGGAGACAGUCCGAAGACCAUUAGAAGCUGAACACACAAGUCCACAGCAGCGGCAUAGAUAGGAUUAUCAAACCAAAGCUGGUCCUUCAAAGUUCCGCUAAUGCAUUUAAGAAGAGCUGAUAGUGAUACCAGCAAACAU
rnacentral:misc_RNA from 1 species